rnacentral:lncRNA from 10 species
CUUUUACUUAUGCAACUGUUUGCAGUCCUUUGGUUGCUCCUUCUCUCAGUGUCAUGCAAAACUUUGCAGAAAUGACCUGUGAAUUUGAUCCAAAGAAUGUAUCAUUGCUACUCAAGGGACAUGCUAUGUACAGAAACAAGACUAUGGUCGAGGAGUUUCGCAGACAUAACUCCUUGGGAGCAGUGCCCAGGUCAAGAAAGAAAAUGUGGCCAAUGCCCCAGGAUCUUAUUUGGUCAUCCAGGCUGGACUGCAGUGGUGUGAUCAUAGCUCACUGCAGCCUCAAACUGCUGGACUCCAGUGAUCUUCCAGCCUCAGCCUCCCCCGGUAGCAAGGACUACAGGUCUCACUCUCUGUCGCCCAGCCUGGAGUGCAGUGGCAUCAUCUGAGCUCACUACAACCUCCGCCUCCCGGGUUCAAGCGAUUCUCCUGCCUCAGCCUCCUGAGUAGCUGGGACUACAGGCACGCGCCACCACGCCCAGCUAAUUUUCGUAUUUUUAAUAGACAUGGGGUUUCACCAUGUUGGCCAGGCUGCUCUUGAACUGCUAACCUCAAGUGAUCCACCAGCGUUGGCCUCUCAAAGUACUAGGAUUACAGUGCUAGGAGCCACCAUGCCCGGCCGCCUCUCUUUUCUUUUACACAUGAAGAAAAAGUGGUCAGAGAAGUUAACUUGGUCAGUGCCAAAAGCACUGGAAGUGAGUAGGACCAAGCUUUUCAUCUAGAUUUGUUUGUUAGACUCUAAAUCCAAAUUCACAACAAGAUCAGAAUAUGAGAAACCUAAGGAACAAAAUUCUAGGAAUCAUUUCUAGAAACUGUGGCUAUUGAAAAAGCACAGACCUAGGGAAUCAAAUUAUUUUCCCUGCCACCAGCACAUGGGUAGGCCUGUGACAAAUUCCAUGCUCUGGACCCCAGAUUCCUCAGUGAGAAUAGAAGGGGCUAGAGACAUCAGGGAAUUGGAUUUGGUGACUUUAAUACCCACUCAGCUCCAAAGCAUUCUUGAAUGAUGCACGAUUUAUGAAUAUAUAUAUUGAAAUUUACUGAUGGGUGAACAGCUCUCAACAUGAGAUUUUUGUUGUAUGCCUUAAAAAAGAUUAUACAUAAAUAUGCGUGUGUGUGUGUAUGUAUGUUUCGAUGUAUAUGAACCCAUGAUCUGAAAAAUGGCCACUGUGGCUUGUGGAAACCUAUUAAUCUCUGCUGUUCCACCCAACAUCCUCAGAGAAAAAAAUAAACAACUUUUUGAAAGUGCUGCCAUGGGGUCAGACCAAAUACUGUGGCCACUUCCAAGGGGUUUGCCUUGAUUUGCCUGGAUUCCUGUUCAUGUGACAUCUGCCUUCUAAUUCAAGGAUAUGAUCAAUUCAAUGUGUGAGUUAUCAAUCAAGGACUGGCAACAGUGAUGCUGAACAAGCCUGGUGGAAGGAAAGAGAAGGCAGGCCAGAGCCCAGACAGACGCAUUCACAAACCUUACAAAGAGGACAGGCUAAUUAGGGGCUGUAGUUCUCCCUCUCUUUAUAGUUGGUAUAAGAGGAGUGGUAAUCGUAGUGUCCAAAAAUAUAUGGGCUACAUAGUUGCUUAGUAAGCUGUGGGUAUGUGGUUUCUUCUGCAAGGUGCUUUCUUUCUGAUAAAGAGAUUACGUUGUUUGUUUGUUCAUUUAUUGAACAUAUUUACACUUACACACACACACACACACACACACAAUGUUCCAGAUACCGUACUUGGCAAUGGUAGUUAGACCUUGCUCUUGCAAAAUUUAUAAUGAAGUUGGGAAGUGUGGUUUGAUCCCUCAAAGUGUCCAAAUCCUAAUCCCCAG